rnacentral:tRNA from 1 species
GUGCUUUUGGUGUAAUGUUUAGCGCUUGAUCCUAGAAAAUGGUAUCAGAGCAUGUCAUGAGUUCGAAUCCCACUAAGGCGUU